UACGGGGGGGGCAAGCGUUGUUCGGAAUUACUGGGCGUAAAGGGCUCGUAGGCGGCCAACUAAGUCAUACGUGAAAUCCCUCGGCUUAACCGGGGAACUGCGUCUGAUACUGGAUGGCUUGAGUUCGGGAGAGGGAUGCGGAAUUCCAGGUGUAGCGGUGAAAUUCGUAGAUAUUGGGAAGAACACCGGUGGCGAAGGCGGCUCUCUGGACCGUAACUGACGCUGAGGCGCGAAAGCGUGGGGAGCAAACAGG
rnacentral:rRNA from 1 species